GACGAACGCUGGCGGCGUGGAUUAGGCAUGCAAGUCGAACGGUAUCAUCCUUUCGGGGGUGAGAGAGUGGCGAACUGGUGAGUAACACGUAGGUUAUCUACCCUCAAGACGGGGACAACCCAGGGAAACUUGGGCUAAUACCGGAUGUGAGCAACUUUUAGUUGUUUGAAAGGUGGCGUAAGCUGUCGCUUGGGGAUGAGCCUGCGUCCUAUUAGUUAGUUGGUGAGGUAACGGCUCACCUAGGCAAUGAUAGGUAGGCGGCCUUAACGGGUGGUCGCCCACACUGGGAUUGAGAUACGGCCCAGACUCCUACGGGAGGCAGCAGUCGAGAAUAGUCUACAAUGGUCGGAAGACUGAUAGUGCGACGCCGCGUGAACGAUGAAUCCCUUCGGGGUUAAAGUUCUUUUAUAUGUGAGCAGUGCUUCUUAUAUUAACAGUAUGGGGAGAGAGAUAUUAGCAUAUGAAUAAGCAACGGCUAACUCCGUGCCCAGCAGCCGCGGUAAUA
rnacentral:rRNA from 1 species